rnacentral:rRNA from 1 species
CCUACGGGAGGCUGCAGUGGGGAAUAUUGCACAAUGGGGGAAACCCUGAUGCAGCGAUGCCGCGUGGAGGAAGAAGGUUCUCGGAUUGUAAACCUCUUUUAUCAGGGACAAAAAUGACGGUACCUGAAGAAAAAGCCCCGGCUAACUACGUGCCAGCAGCCGCGGUAAUACGUAGGGAGCGAGCGUUGUCCGGAAUUACUGGGUGUAAAGGGAGCGUAGGCGGGACGGCAAGUCAGAAGUGAAAACUGAGGGCUCAACUUUCAGACUGCAUUUGAAACUGCUGUUCUUGAGUGAAGGAGGGGUAAGCGGAAUGCCUAGGGUAGCGGUGAAAUGCGUAGAUAUUAGGAGGAACAGCGGUGGCGAAGGCGGCUUACUGGACUUUAACUGACGCUGAGGCUCGAAAGCGUGGGGAGCAAACAGGAUUAGAUACCCGAGUAGUC